rnacentral:rRNA from 1 species
AGAGUUUGAUCCUGGCUCAGGAUAAACGCUGGCGGUGUACAUAAGACAUGCAAGUCGAACGGGAGAAGACUGGAAGAUUUAUCUACUAGCUCGGACACCGUGGCGGACGGGUGAGUAACACGUAAGCAACCUGCCUAUAAGAGGGGAAUAACAGUGAGAAAUUACUGAUAAUACCGCAUAAGCUGGAGGUAUCGCAUGAUACAUUCAGAAAAGAUUUAUCGCUUAUAGAUGGGCUUGCGUCUGAUUAGCUAGUUGGUGAGAUAACAGCUCACCAAGGCGACGAUCAGUAGCCGGAUUGAGAGGUUGAACGGCCACAUUGGGACUGAGACACGGCCCAGACUCCUACGGGAGGCAGCAGUCGGGAAUAUUGCACAAUGGAGGAAACUCUGAUGCAGUGACACCGCGUAUAGGAAGAAGGUCUUAGGAUUGUAAGCUAUUGUCGUGUGAGAAGAAAAUGACCAUCACAGGAGGAAGCCCUGGCUAAAUAUGUGCCAGCAGCCGCGGUAAUACAUAUGGGGCGAGCGUUAUCCGGAUUUAUUGGGUGUAAAGGGUGCGUAGGCGGGAAAAUAAGUCAGUAUGUGAAAUCCCUCGGCUCAACUGAGGAACUGCAACUGAAACUAUUUUUCUUGAGUGUUGAAGGGGAAAGUGGAAUUCCUAGUGUAGCGGUGAAAUGCGUAGAGAUUAGGAGGAACACCAGUGGCGAAGGCGACUUUCUGGGCAACAACUGACGCUGAGGCACGAAAGUGUGGGGAGCAAACAGGAUUAGAUACCCUGGUAGUCCACACCGUAAACGAUGGAUACUAGGAGUUGGCAAAAAUAUUGUCGGUUCCGCAGUUAACGCAUUAAGUAUCCCACCUGGGGAGUACGACCGCAAGGUUAAAACUCAAAGGAAUUGACGGGGGCCCGCACAAGCAGUGGAGUAUGUGGUUUAAUUCGAAGCAACGCGAAGAACCUUACCAGGGCUUGACAUAUACAGGAAUAUAUAAGAGAUUAUAUAGCUCUACGGAGUCUGUAUACAGGUGGUGCAUGGUUGUCGUCAGCUCGUGUCGUGAGAUGUUGGGUUAAGUCCC